CCGAGACGCAAAUUAAUUAAUACUCAACUGGUAAGAAUUACAUUGUUCAUGCUCCAAAAAGGAGUUAACAGCAAAGUAAAAACGCAUGUCAGUCUCUAAGGAUAAUCUAGCUUUGGCAAAGGAAUCCGCCAAGUUGUUUGCCUGUACCAUAGAUCGAGCUUUGCUGAAACUUGCCUUUGAGUUUCCAAAUCUCAGCAAACUGGUCAGCAACAGCUUGAUUGCAGUGCAGCAGGCUCCAAGUUAAAUUGAUAAUCUUCAAAAGCAUCACGAUACCAGGCAAGUGAGCCUCAACCACUGAUUAUCAUGGUGCUUUGAAGUUCCUCUUUAUUGAGCCAUUGAAGUUCGUGAUUCAAUUUUCAAGUUAAGAGGCGAAACAAAUCUUGACUCUCGCGGAAGAAGAAUACCAUUUGCGGCGCGGCCAGAAAACAGAAUUGCUUAUGAAGUGUUUG
rnacentral:lncRNA from 1 species